rnacentral:rRNA from 1 species
CAAUAGCGUAUAUUAAAGUUGUUGCGGUUAAAAAGCUCGUAGUUGGAUUUCUGUUGGGAACGACCGGUCCGCCCAUUGGGUGUGUAUCUGGCUUGUUCUCGGCAUCUUCUUGGUGAACGUUGCUGCACUUGACUGUGUGGAGCGCUACCCAGGACUUUUACUUUGAGGAAAUUAGAGUGUUUCAAGCAGGCAUAUGCCUUGAAUACAUUAGCAUGGAAUAAUAAGAUAGGACCUCGGUUCUAUUUUGUUGGUUUCUAGAGCUGAGGUAAUGAUUAAUAGGGAUAGUUGGGGCAUUCGUAUUUAACUGUCAGAGGUGAAAUUCUUGGAUUCGUUAAAGACGGACUACUGCGAAAGCAUUUGCCAAGGAUGUUUUCAUUGA